rnacentral:snoRNA from 1 species
GUUCAUGAAAAGAGUCAGAGUAAAAUUCUUCAUAAAAUAUUAGCAAAUCCCCAUAUACACCUCAGCCCAGGCUCUGCCCCUGAUCUGUGUUGUGAAUAGUGGGGACAUAG